ensembl:lncRNA
AUGGGAUCACCCCUCUCACCGGUCAUCGCAAACCUGUACAUGGAACACUUUGAAACCAAUGCUUUAGACAAGUCAGAACACAAACCCAAACUUUGGCUCAGAUAUGUUGACGACACCUUUGUAAUUUGGCCACACGGGAAGGAAAAACUAGAUAGCUUCCUCACACACCUCAACAGCCUACACCCCAAAAUACAAUUCACUAUGGAAAUAGAAGCCAACAACCAACUUCCCUUCCUUGACGUCCUAGUCUACAAAAAACCUGAUGGCUCCCUAGGACACACUAUCUACCGGAAAAAAACACACACCAACCGCUACUUACAUGCACAAUCACACCACCACCCUGCACAAAUAAACUCCGUAGCCAAGACUCUCAUCUCCAGAACCAAACGCCUGGCUGACAAAGACCACUUGACAACUGAGUUACAGAAUCUCUCAAAUGUGUUAAUCGCCAAUGGAUACCAGCAAAACAGGGUUACGAAACUAAUCCAAAAAGAAACACCCCCCAAAAACCAAGACACAGAAGAAAACAAUGGCAUGGCCCUCCUUCCUUAUAUCAAGGGCACUACAGAUAAAAUUAGCAAAAUCCUCCAUAAACACAAUAUCAAAACAGCCUUUUGCACCAACCAAAAAAUAGCCAAUAUCCUCAGAAACCCCAAGGAUAAAAUCCAGUUGGAAAACCAAGGAGUCUAUGAAAUACCCUGCAAAGUCUGCCCAGCCACGUACAUUGGACAAACAAACAGACGAAUAAAUGCACGUAUCGCAGAACACAAGAAUGCCGUCAAAAAAGAAGAAAAAACUUCCUCUCUUUUCCAACACAUGAAAGAAACAGGACACGAAAUUAAUUUUGCAGAUUCCAAAUUGCUCUUUAACAUGGAACAUCACCACAAGAGAAUAAUCAUGGAAGCCAUCGAGAUAGAGAAACACCCUCACAACAUGAACAAGCGUGACGACACAUCCCGCCUGCCAGACAUCUGGAAAUUAGCCCUCCCCACAAAAACUGACACCAGAUCCAGAGGCACACAGAACGCCAUCACCAAUCAACCACACCAGACCCAAACCCAGACCCUCUCCACAGAUAAAUUACAGACACCAUCCAGUAGCCAAACCAUGGUGGCACCUCCGGAUGCUGCACCCCCCUGCAAUCCCUACACAGAUCUGGCUGGCACAGGCCACAAAACCACAGCUCGCCCCUAUACACGAAGCCAAGCCAGAGCACAACUAAGUGCAGUACAGCCAUCUUCUCAGAAAAACUCUUCACAAAGUUCAAGAGGUCAAGACACGAAGGCUUUAGCAACUAAUCCACACCUAAUGACCCACCUAAGUGGUACUCAGGAUAUCACUCAAGAAAUCACUCAAGAUAUCCCUCAAGUAAUUAAGGAACAAAAGAAGAAAAGGCACACUAGCCUGGGAACUUCCUCUCUGCCCAGAACAUUGGAGGCUAUACACCACACCUCCUCAACAGUAUUUAUAGGAACUCAAACACUGAGAUCCUGCUCUGUUCCAGUAACAAGAAGCCGAAAGCACCAGCCUGAAGAUGACGAGUGA